rnacentral:lncRNA from 1 species
UGGUCUUAGCUAUAUGGCUCUAAUUUGUCAUUUUCUUGUGCUUUGUUUGUAACCAUUCUUGUAUUCUCUUUCCAGCAAUAAAUUGGGGAAACAAGGGAGAAUAAAGGAGAAACAAGGGAGAUGGAGGAGUGGGCAUCAAUGGAGACAUAAGAUUUAGGAUUUCAGACUAACAUAAGAUCAUAAGAGGAAAAUAAUAUAGGCAUACCUUGAUACGAAGUUCAGUCACCCUCUUGCCAGAUGCCAAAAUCAUCACAAUUUUGCUAGCCAUUUUGUAGGGGAGGAGGGAGAUCAAUUAGAA